GACGAACGCUGGCGGCGUGCCUAAUACAUGCAAGUCGAACGCUGAAGGAGGAGCUUGCUUCUCUGGAUGAGUUGCGAACGGGUGAGUAACGCGUAGGUAACCUGCCUGGUAGCGGGGGAUAACUAUUGGAAACGAUAGCUAAUACCGCAUAAUAGUAGAUGUUGCAUGACAUUUGCUUAAAAGGUGCAAUUGCAUCACUACCAGAUGGACCUGCGUUGUAUUAGCUAGUUGGUGAGGUAACGGCCCACCAAGGCGACGAUACAUAGACGACCUGAGAAGGGGAACGGCCGCCCUGGGACUGAGACACGGCCCAGGCUCCUCCAGGAGGCAGCAGUAGGGAAUCUUCGGCAAUGGACGGAAGUCUGACCGAGCAACGCCGCGUGAGUGAAGAAGGUUUUCGGGUCGUAAAGCUCUGUUGUAAGAGAAGAGCGAGUGUGCGAGUGGAAAGUUCACACUGUGACGGUAUCUUACCAGAACGAGACGGCUAACUACGUG
rnacentral:rRNA from 1 species